rnacentral:snRNA from 1 species
UUGUUUUAGCAACAAGUGUACUAAAAUUGAAACAAUAGAGAUUAGUACAAUUCCUGUGCAAGGAUGACAUGAAAAUUUGUGAUGUGUUUUAUAUACAU